rnacentral:lncRNA from 10 species
CAGGGCCAUGGCGGGUGCACAGAGACCAGCAUGAGGAUGUUCCAGAUGAUGGAGGAGUUAGUGCCUGCAGAGUACAGAGCCCCAAAAGAUGAGACCUAGAAGGUGUGGAUGAGGGGAAUGGCAGGAAGAGACAGGGGUGCUGGCUGGGCCCUGCCCCUUCAAUCCUGGACCAGACAUGGGGACACACUCCACUCAGCAGUGCUCACCCCCGCACCGCCCAGCCCCGCUCAAAGCCAAGGGACAUCCAUGGCUUUCUCAUUCCUCAGAUGCAUGUGUCACCCACUUCCUCACUCAGGCUAGGAAUGUCUUUCCUGAGGGCAGGGAGCACCAAUUCUCCAUCUUACCCUUGGCCGCGGCAUCUAGCUCAGGGCCAGGCGCUCCAUGGGGCGUUCUGAAGGCUUAUUGACUGGAGACAAGUUAAUUCUCAAAGGCCUCAACUGAGGGUGGCCGUCGCCGAGGAUUUAGGGGCCCCUCCAAAGCCUUAGACACCAAGGGACAAGUGGAGAGAUUGUG